GGCUCUGGUCUUUACUCUGUUUCUAUUUCAGCUUGACUCUCCCAGUCGACGGUCAUGGCUCGCUACAGGAGUUACUUACGAGGGCUCGCCAUCUGUGUCACUGUGCUGCUACUGGUGUCUGGUGUGGUGAUGAUUGGCGUCGGAUUUUCCUCCAUCGAGGGAAACACACCAGUUGCCGAGUUGUUCGACCAGUUGUCCAGCAGCGAC